GAUGAACGCUAGCGGCAGGCUUAACACAUGCAAGUCGAGGGGUAGAGGAAGCUUGCUUCCUUGAGACCGGCGCACGGGUGCGUAACGCGUAUACAAUCUACCUUUUACAGAGGGAUAGCCCCAGAGAAAUUUGGAUUAACACCUCAUAGUAUUUUCGGAUCGCAUGAUUUGAUUAUUAAAGUUCCAACGGUAAAAGAUGAGUAUGCGUCCCAUUAGCUAGAUGGUAAGGUAACGGCUUACCAUGGCAAUGAUGGGUAGGGUCCUGAGAGGGAGAUCCCCCCANACUGGUACUGAGACACGGACCAGACUCCUACGGGAGGCAGCAGUGAGGAAUAUUGGACAAUGGGCGCAAGCCUGAUCCAGCCAUGCCGCGUGCAGGAAUAAGGUCCUAUGGAUUGUAAACUGCUUUUAUACAGGAAGAAACAACUCCGACGUGUCGGAGCUUGACGGUACUAGUAAGAA
rnacentral:rRNA from 1 species